AAGCACUCAGGGCACAUAGCACUAGCUCCAAGAAUUGAAUUUCCCUCAAGCCUAGCUAGUGAAGCAGAUUGCUGUAACCCUAAGAUUGGUUUUAUGCAGUAACUGCUGAAUUGACCUGCUGGGACUCUAAGACUACUUUUACUUACAGCCGUCACUCAUCAAUCAGAGCUUGUAAGCUACCAAAAGCUUUUCUAGUGUCAAUGAGCUUUCUUUCAAAACAGCACAGUGCCAAGUCAUCCAUAAACAUUGACAGUACAGAGUUUCAUCCAACACAACAGCCUUACAAGGAAGCUUCACUCCUCUGCUCAGCUGCUGCACCACAUUUCGGAUCAGAACAUCUAGAUCCAUCAAAACAAGAGGUGGAUGAGAUAUCUGCACAUUCAGGGAGGGGAGGAUAAAAUCCAGGGGGCCUCAUGAGAUUGCUCUCCACGUGCGAGUGAGCAGACAGGCGGUGUAUUUCCUGAUUGCCCCAGGCUAGGUGAGGAGUGGCUCAGGCAGCCCAGGCUGGGCAGGGACACUAGAGACUGAUGCAUUAAAGAAAAAUUUAUCAAAAAAUCAGGGAAGAAGCUAGUUUCUCUUUACCCCCUCUAUUUAAGGACCCCUUGAGUGAUAGUUCCCGGAUCCUCCUGCGCUGGUGUUUGUCUUUCGCUGAAGGUGAUGGAUGUGUAAGCUGCACUAAUGAGCAGGGCUUGGGCCAUCAGACAGUCACAGGGCCGUCCAGCUCCAUGCACCUCCCAGGCCGUGAGACAGUCACAGAGUUGUCCAUCUCCACGCAUCUUCCAGGUUCUGAGACAGUCACGGGGCCGUCCAUCUCCACGCACCUCCCAGGUUGUGAGACAGUCACGGGGCCAUCCAUCUCCACGCACCUCCCAGGUUGUGAGACAGUCACGGGGCUGUCCAUCUCCAUGCACCUCCCAGCUGUCAGCAUGGUCCACCGGGGAAAUAUGUGAUUAAUGCAGAGGAUUAUGUGUGUGUUGGGGUGGAGGGAGAUGUAGCCCAAUGGAGAGGAAAGGCAUGGACCAGCUUGGGGGUGGGAGAUGGGGGUCAGGGGGAUCUGGACCUCAGUUAGUCAGGACAAUUGAGAGAGUCUCAGUAGGCUCCCAAGAGAUAGUGAAUGAAUUCUCCAGGGGCUGGGGGCAGUGGGUCAGUCCAAGACCCUGCCUGCCCCUCUCCUCAGCCUUAAAGGUUCACAGUAGAGAGAGGAGUCUUCCAGACCUGAGUUCAAAUCUUAGCUUGGACUCAGCUUUGUGACAUUGGACUUGUCAAUGAACUUCUCUGUGCCUCCUUUUCUUCCAUGUAUGUCCAUUUAGCAUUAAAAGAACUAACGAAUGCGUGGCAAGCCCUUUGCACAAUAGUUGACACAAAGCCAGGGCUCAACCAACAGCUUUUCUGUCUCCUUAUUGCUGUUGUCAGUAGGAUUAUCUAGCUUUUCUAUAGGCAUGUAUUGUAGAUGUUUAUAUACGAUAUAUUUUGUCAUUGAGAUCUUACUGUAUUCACCUGUCUCUCUCUUUUUUUUUUUUUUUUUUUUUGCUUACCAUUCUGUUGUGAGCAUUUUCUCACAUCAUUAAAAAGUUCCUCAAAAACGGGAUGUUAAUAGCUUCAUAAUGGUCCCUCAUUGAGAUGCUUCAUAAUUGACUUUUUCAUUCUUUCUGGUUGGAUAGACAGGGCAUUACAGUUUCCAGCUUUUCACUGUUAUUAUCAGGCUGCAAUAAGCAUCUCUAGGACAAAUUCCUGGAGGUGGAAUCAGUGCAUCAGAGCACUGACAUUGCUGAGGCUCAAGAGCGUUCCUACUUAGUUGUCUUCCAAAAAGGUUUCCAGCACUGCAUGAGAAUGCCUGUCUCACCACACAUUUACCAGCUCAAUUGUUCCCUUUUUAUUUAGUCUUCAUGAAUUUCUCAGGCCCCAAAUUGAAUUUCAUCGUCUUUUGGAGGCACAGAGCUCUGGCCCAUGGCUCUUGUUUCCCAGCAGGGUGAUAAUUAGAUUAUCUUCAGAGGCUUCCAGCAAACCUCAUGAUGAAAGGCAGGGCAGCCCUGGGCAUGGAGUCAAAGAAGCUGGGUUCCCAUCCCAACUCUGUGCUCUCUCACUGUGUGACCUGGGUAUAUUCUAUCUCCCUCUCUGGGCCUUUGUUUAUCAAUCUACUCCAACAGCCUCCCACUUGGUCUCUCUGCCUCCAAUGCAUCCAAUGUCUGGAACAGUGACUGGCAUAUAAUACGUGCUCAACAAAUAUUUAUUGAAUUCUGAAAUGAAAAAGUGACCUUUCUACAGGAAGAAGCUGCCACAUCAUUAUGCUGCCUCCAACAUUUGCUUAAGCUUCCUAACAUUCUGUUUACUUUUUUGGUUCUCGCAUGAAUUUCUGUUUCUACUUAGGAUAUGAAAAGACACAUGAGACAAAAUGAGAAAAAAGGCCAGAUAAUCUACAGAGUCAUAACUUUUCUUGAGCCCUUCAGAGAGCUGGAGUCGCAAGGCAGCCAACUGAACUGAAACCUAAAGGAUGACAAGAUCUUCUGAGAAAGACAGAACCACCCACUCCUGCACCUCUGGCAGAACCCUGGAGGGAGAGUGGGCUGCCAUAACAGACAGCUAACACUGCAAUGAAUUCUUAAAGGCUGAGUGUGCAAAGGCUUUACAGCUGAGCCAUCCCAGGAGCCCCCACACUUAAAAGGAGUUCACGUUCCUUCAUCAGCUGCUUCCGGUAAAGCUCAGGACAAAGACGGGACAGGACAGGGAUCUGAGUCAGCCACCUCUCAAGGGCACAGGGACAUGAAAACCCUCCCACUUCCCAGACCCUUCUCUUAUCGGAAGCAAAAGCCUCAAACCACUUCCCUGGGGCAGGAAAAACCUUCUACCCUGGAGGCUCAGACAAAGAUCUGUUGUCUCUGGGGGAGGGGCUGGAGCAAAAGCCGUUUUCUGCUGGGGAAGGGGUAGGAAACCCUUCCACCUUGGUUCCUGGUUGAGACGUAGAAGUUGAGAUCUUUGUUCUCAAAGAGGUCUGGAGAGAUGCCUGCAGCCUCUCACUGGAGGACCAGCCGUGCUGCUCUUGCACACAAUGUCACCAACGAGCUGGUCUCCGGGGGUCCUCAAGAGCCCUUCAAUGGCCAAAGUAGGGGGCAGGCUGGGCUCUCAGGAGGAUGUUGGGCCGUAGGAGAGGGUGGGCCAAGGGAAGGAGGCCAUCAGAGAACAGCCUUGUAUGGGCGGGGCCGGUCCCCAUUGUGGGGAGGGCCAUCCCCACUGGUGAGUGGGGCCAUCCUGGAGCAACGAAUUAACUAUUUUAGAGGU